rnacentral:rRNA from 1 species
AGUGGGGAAUCUUGCGCAAUGGACGAAAGUCUGACGCAGCAACGCCGCGUGGGUGAUGAAGGCCUUCGGGUCGUACAGCCCUGUCAGAAGGGAAGAUAAUGACGGUACCUUCAGAGGAAGCACCGGCUAACUCCGUGCCAGCAGGCGCGGUAAUACGGAGGGUGCAAACGUCGUUCGGAAUCAUUGUGGCGUAAAGCGCGCGUAGGCGGCGCCGUAGGUCGGGUGUGAAAUCCCGGGGCUCAACCCCGGAACUGCGCUCGAAACCCCGGUGCUCGAGUCUCGGAGGGAGAAUGUGGAAUUCCUGGUGUAAGGGUGACAUCCGUAGAUGUCAGGAGGAACACCGGCGGCGACUGCGACUUCAUGGCCGAAGACUGACGCUGAGGUGCGAAAGUGUGGGGAGCGAACAGGAUUAGAUACCCUGGUAGUCCACACCGUAAACGAUGCUCACUAGCUGGCGGGUGCAUGAACCCACGCGCUGGCGCAGUUAACGCGCUAAGUGAACCGCCUGGGGAGUACGGUCGCAAGAUUAAAACUCAAAGGAAUUGACGGGGGCCCGCACAAGCGGUGGAGCAUGUGGUGUAAUUCGAAGCAACGCGCAGAACCGUACCUGGGUUUGACAUCCUCCGAACGGACCAGAGAUGGACCGGUGCCCUUCGGGGAACGGAGUGACAGGUGCUGCAUGGCUGUCGUCAGCUCGUGUCGUGAGAUGUUGGGUUAAGUCCCGCAACGAGCGCAACCCUUGUCCUUAGUUGCCAGCCGAUUCGGUCGGGGACUCUAAGGAGACUGCCAGGUGUGAAACCGGAGGAAGGUGGGGAUGACGUCAAGUCCUCGUGGCCAUUAUGCCCAGGGCUACACACGUGCUACAAUGGCCGGUACAAUCCGCAGCGAGCCAGCGAUGGUGAGCCAAUCGGACAAAGCCGGUCUCAGUUCGGAUUGCAGUGUGCAACUCGACUGCAUGAAGCUGGAAUCGCUAGUAAUCGUGGAUCAGCAUGCCACGGUGAUACGUUCCCGGGCCUUGUACACACCGCCCGUCACACCAUGGAAGUUCGUUGGACCAGAAGUCGCCGGCC